UCAUCCUCCCAUUUUGCAUCAGAGUUCCUAAGCUCUUCGUUUAGGCUGAUUUCUUUUCUCUAAAAUGAGAAUGAAUAAAGAGAUUAACCUUCCCAAAGAGGCAAGAACAUCGGUUUGCACCCAAAUGAAUUUCUGCUUUGUGGCAUUCUGUCUAAUAGGGAAAGCCUCUAGAAUAGUCCAGUAAGUCCUGGCCUCAAUAUUUGUUUCCAUUCCCCUUCCAGGGAAUAAAGAGAGUUGAUUCCUACCAAUUAUGGAAGACAACUACUAAUGGAAUUUGCAUGACACCAACUAAGAGGAGGAUGACACAAAAUGUUGGAUAAUUCCAUUGUUUGAAGAACAAAAAUCUUGUCAAGCCAUAACAUGCUGUGCUCUUCCAUGCUGCCAUCCAUCCAUACUCAACAAGUGAUAAAGAAGAGUCUUCUAAAGACCUGAGCAUGCAGACAGCAGCUAAAAAGGGGAAACCUGUUGUAAUAAUGAAGGAAGCAUAAAGACGAGAAAGAAUAAUCCACCAAAUAAAUUACGAAGGAAACAAAGAAAAAGAAUGGCAGGACGUCAUCACUAAUAUGAUAAAAGAGGUCCUUCAGACAUGCUCUCCUCCUCA